rnacentral:rRNA from 1 species
UAGAACGCUGAAGCUUGGUGCUUGCACCGAGCGGAUGAGUUGCGAACGGGUGAGUAACGCGUAGGUAACCUGCCUCUUAGCGGGGGAUAACUAUUGGAAACGAUAGCUAAUACCGCAUAAAAGUCGAUAUCGCAUGAUAUUGAUUUGAAAGGUGCAAUUGCAUCACUAAGAGAUGGACCUGCGUUGUAUUAGCUAGUUGGUGAGGUAACGGCUCACCAAGGCGACGAUACAUAGCCGACCUGAGAGGGUGAUCGGCCACACUGGGACUGAGACACGGCCCAGACUCCUACGGGAGGCAGCAGUAGGGAAUCUUCGGCAAUGGGGGCAACCCUGACCGAGCAACGCCGCGUGAGUGAAGAAGGUUUUCGGAUCGUAAAGCUCUGUUGUAAGAGAAGAACGAGUGUGAGAGUGGAAAGUUCACACUGUGACGGUAACUUACCAGAAAGGGACGGCUAACUACGUGCCAGCAGCCGCGGUAAUACGUAGGUCCCGAGCGUUAUCCGGAUUUAUUGGGCGUAAAGCGAGCGCAGGCGGUUAGAUAAGUCUGAAGUUAAAGGCUGUGGCUUAACCAUAGUACGCUUUGGAAACUGUUUAACUUGAGUGCAGAAGGGGAGAGUGGAAUUCCAUGUGUAGCGGUGAAAUGCGUAGAUAUAUGGAGGAACACCGGUGGCGAAAGCGGCUCUCUGGUCUGUAACUGACGCUGAGGCUCGAAAGCGCGGGGAGCAAACAGGAUUAGAUACCCUGGUAGUCCACGCCGUAAACGAUGAGUGCUAGGUGUUGGGUCCUUUCCCGGGACUCAGUGCCGCAGCUAACGCAUUAAGCACUCCGCC